rnacentral:rRNA from 1 species
AUGAGCCUCGCUUUGAGGAAUUCAGACAGAUGGAUCUUAUAUGAAUCAUAUGAUGAAGUACCACAUGAGUGGAUAUAUAGGAAAGGAAUCCAAAUCUGCCGAAUCGCUCAUGUUAUGAUCUUCUACAUCCUAGGUCUCUGCGUUCCGUCAUCUGGCUUAUGUUCUUCAUGUAUGAAGCAUGAGAGAUCAAUAAUUUCUUUGAAACAAAUCCACCACCGUGCUUUAAAAGAUCUAAGUGAAGCACAUAGAGCAAAAUUAUCACGCUCAAAAGAUAUAAGUGAAGCACAUAGAGCAAAACUACUAAGCUCAAAAGAUAUAAGUGAAGCACAUAGAGUAUUCUAUCAAAUUCCAAUUCAUAUAAGGCUCUCUCAAAAGGUGUGUACAGCAAGGAUGAUUGUGGCACACUAA